ACGUGGGGCUCCGGCCUCGCCGAGAUAGAACCCUUGCCUUUUCGAGUACCGAAACGUUUCCUCGGCAGGCCCGCCUGCCAACGGGGACCCAAACAAACCCUUGAAUCACCAGUCACUGUCUGAGAAAACAAACAAAAAUCA
rnacentral:misc_RNA from 1 species